UGACCUGAACCAAAAUGAAGAGUGGGGACACUCAACCAGCUGAACUACCCUGGCACCCCUGUAGCUUGUGGCUUGUAAGACAGCUUUUCCGAGAACUGAUGACUCUUAAACAGGUACUUGCAAAGGUUCUGCACUUCAGUCUCUCCUCAAGCUCAUCAUUUAUCUUCUGAUUAGAAAGUUGCUGCUUCUUUUAACCAUAGCUGGUGUUGUGGAUGAUAAACCCUAAAAGGAAAACAGUGGACUUUGAAGGGAACUUGUCUUCCCUGCAGAGCUUUUCUGAGAGUAAACAGGAAAGUUGGAACACUGAUUGGAUAUUUGUUUCUAAACAUACUGGAUGUUAUAUAAAUUUUCCAAGACUCUGAAGCCAACCGUGGUUUCUUGCUGACCUACUACUACUAUGAAUUUGAGAGACUUGAGCUUUUCUAAUUUGGUGCUGCUACAAUCAAGUGUCAUCAGAAACUCGCCAGUGUUCUUCUGGAUCUACAAAGAGAGAGACGAGUAGAGAUAGAAAUGGAGGUGGAGAUGAGAUGGACAAGGACAUAGAGAGAGAAAAAAAGGAACUAGGUUUUAAACAUAUGCUUACUAACUCCCUGGAAUCAUGCUUCAAUCCCUUCUGUGACUGUGGGGUAAAAACAAUGUCACGGAGAGGCAGACAAGCUAGUAGAGGUGUUCAAGGCAGAAUCUGGGGCUAGACUGCUGUAUCAGACGCCCAGCUCUGCCCCUUCCUGGCUGUGCGGUCUUGGGAACAUCGCUUGAAAGUCAUCAUCUGGAACAAAGACACCAACUAUUGUUCCCCCACAGCAUGGCUGAGAAAUGACCAACAUAUAUAAAAC
rnacentral:lncRNA from 1 species